AACGAACGCUGGCGGCAUGCCUAACACAUGCAAGUCGAACGAGACCUUCGGGUCUAGUGGCGCACGGGUGCGUAACGCGUGGGAACCUGCCCUUAGGUUCGGAAUAACUCCCCGAAAGGGGUGCUAAUACCGGAUAAUGUCUUCGGACCAAAGAUUUAUCGCCUUUGGAUGGGCCCGCGUUGGAUUAGCUAGUUGGUAGGGUAAAAGCCUACCAAGGCGACGAUGCAUAGCUGGUCUGAGAGGAUGACCAGCCACACUGGGACUGAGACACGGACCAGACUGCUACGGGAGGGAGCAGUGGGGAAUAUUGGACAAGGGGCGAAAGCCUGAUCAAGCAAUGCCGCGUGAGUGAUGAAGGCCUUAGGGUUGUAAAGCUGUUUUACACGGGAUGAUAAUGACAGUACCGGGAGAAUAAGCACCGGCUAACUCCGUG
rnacentral:rRNA from 1 species